rnacentral:rRNA from 1 species
CCUACGGGUGGCAGCAGUGAGGAAUAUUGGUCAAUGGGCGGGAGCCUGAACCAGCCAAGCCGCGUGAGGGAAGAAGGUACAGCGUAUUGUAAACCUCUUUUGUCAGGGAACAACGUCGGGCACUUGUCCCCGGCUGAGUGUACCUUAAGAACAAGCAUCGGCUAACUCCGUGCCAGCAGCCGCGGUAAUACGGAGGAUGCGAGCGUUAUCCGGAUUUAUUGGGUUUAAAGGGUGCGCGGGCGGCCUGUUAUGUCAGCGGGAAAAGCCCGGGGCUCACCCCCGGCGGGCCGUUGAAACUGGCGGGCUGGAGUUGGGGAGAGGUAAGCGGAAGGCGCGGUGUAGCGGUGAAAUGCUUAGAUAUCGCGCAGAACGCCGAUUGCGAAGGCAGCGUACCG